CAUUUAGAGGAAGGAGAAGUCGUAACAAGGUUUCCGUAGGUGAACCUGCGGAAGGAUCAUUGUCGAAACCUGCCCUGCAGAACGACCCGCGAACGUGUUUUAUAAAUUAAGGGAGAGCAGGGGUCUUGCACCCUUGCUCUCCCAUCGCCGGUGCGAGAGGCGUGAAGGGCUUUAGCUCCUCUACCUCUAUCAUCGGCACACUAACCAACCCCCGGCGCAGGACGCGCCAAGGAACAUGAAAUGAAAAGAGCAUGCUGCCAUAGGCCCCGGAAACGGUGAUGCCUGAGGCAUGCGUUGUCCUCUUUUAAUAACUAAAACGACUCUCGGCAACGGAUAUCUCGGCUCUCGCAUCGAUGAAGAACGCAGCAAAAUGCGAUACUUGGUGUGAAUUGCAGAAUCCCGUGAAUCAUCGAGUUUUUGAACGCAAGUUGCGCCCGAAGCUUCGGCCAGGGCACGUCUGCCUGGGUGUCACGCAACCGUCGCCCCCAACCUUUACGGGGCGGAUGUUGGCCUCCCGUGAGCCAUAGCUAGCGGUUGGCCUAAAACCAGAGUCCAUGGCGACGAUCGCCACGACAUUCGGUGGUUGUAAGACUCUCUGAAAACUGUCGUGCGCGAUUCGUCUGCUGUAAGGGACCCGAGACCCCGAUGCAUUCCCAAAGGGUAAUGCUCCGACUGCGACCCCAGGUCAGGCGGGAUUACCCGCUGAGUUUAAGC
rnacentral:misc_RNA from 1 species